AACGAACGCUGGCGGCAUGCCUAACACAUGCAGGUCGAACGAGACCUUCGGGUCUAGUGGCGCACGGGUGCGUAACGCGUGGGGACCUGCCCUUAGGUUCGGAAUAACUCCCCGAAAGGGGUGCUAAUACCGGAUAAUGUCUUCGGACCAAAGAUUUAUCGCCUUUGGAUGGGCCCGCGUUGGAUUAGCUAGUUGGUAGGGUAAAAGCCUACCAAGGCGACGAUCCAUAGCUGGUCUGAGAGGAUGAUCAGCCACACUGGGACUGAGACACGGCCCAGACUCCUACGGGAAGCAGCAGUGGGGAAUAUUGGACAAUGGGCGAAAGCCUGAUCCAGCAAUGCCGCGUGAGUGAUGAAGGCCUUAGGGUUGUAAAGCUCUUUUACCCGGGAUGAUAAUGACAGUACCGGGAGAAUAAGCUCCGGCUAACUCCGUG
rnacentral:rRNA from 1 species